rnacentral:rRNA from 1 species
UUGGUUAUGCUAGAAAGAGCGCAGGGUGGAUGCCUUGGCACUAAGAGCCGAUGAAAGACGUGAUAAGCUGCGAAAAGCUUCGGGGAGGAGCAAAUAUCCGAUGAUCCGGAGAUAUCUGAAUGGGGAAACCCGGCUGGACAGACUCCAGUCAUCCAUACGCCAAUCCAUAACGUAUGGAAGGGAACCCGGUGAACUGAAACAUCUAAGUAGCCGGAGGAAGAGAAAACAACAAGUGAUUCUGUGAGUAGCGGCGAGCGAAAACGGAAGAGCCCAAACCGGAAUGCGUGCAUUCCGGGGUUCGGACCGCGUAAUUGAUCUGAUAAGUUUAGCAGAAUGGUUUUGGGAAAGCCAGCCAGAGAGGGUGAAAGCCCCGUAAGCGAAAGACGAGUCAGCAAGGCGGGAUCCAGAGUACCACGAGACACGAGAAACCUUGUGGGAAUGAGCGGGGACCACCCCGUAAGGCUAAAUACUCCUUAGUGACCGAUAGCGCAUAGUACUGUGAAGGAAAGGUGAAAAGGACCCCGGGAGGGGAGUGAAAGAGAACCUGAAACCCUGUGUUUACAAGCUGUGGAACAUCUAUAUAUGAUGAACCGCGUACUUUUUGUAGAACGGUCCGGCGAGUUACGCCAUCUGGCGAGGUUAAGUUCUUAAGGAAUGGAGCCGAAGUGAAAACAAGUCUUAACAGGGCGUUAAGUCAGAUGGAGUAGACCCGAAACCGGGUGAUCUAUCCAUGUCCAGGAUGAAGUUGCCGUAAAAGGCAAUGGAGGUCCGAACCCACAUCCGUUGAAAAGGGUGGGGAUGAGGUGUGGAUAGGGGAGAAAUUCCAAUCGAACCCGGAGAUAGCUGGUUCUCCUCGAAAUAGCUUUAGGGCUAGCCUCAUGAGAGUCUUUUGGAGGUAGAGCACUGAAUUCCCGCGGGGGCGUCAAAGCUUACCAAAGGAUAUCAAACUCCGAAUGCCAGUAAGAUGAUUCAUGGGAGUCAGACUGCACGAGAUAAGUUGGGCAGUCAAAAGGGAAAGAGCCCAGACCUGCAGCUAAGGUCCCAAAAUGUGUGUUAAGUGGAAAAGGAUGUGGGAUUUCAAAGACAACCAGGAUGUUGGCUUAGAAGCAGCCAUACAUUAAAAGAG